rnacentral:lncRNA from 1 species
UGGCUUGUGGUUGGCAUAGCAGUAUGUGGCCAAGGUUAGGCAUGCAUGCGCUUUCUUGAGGGGCACGAGGCAGACCAUCGGUGGUGGCAGGACGCGCGGCACGGUCACAGCAGGAUCCAACGGGUCUGGCUCCAGCACGAGGUGGCAGGGUGCGGCGUUGGUUGAGGAGGAGGACUGACCGCUUGUGCAGGUCGGUGGCGGCUCCAAGCUAGUAUGGAGACGAGGGGGAUGGGAUCUAGGUUAACAACAACCGAGUGUGGAAGACACAGGAAAUAGCUGCCGCCCCGCAUUACUUGAAUCGUGUGUUUCAACAACGUCCAACACUCGAAUUUUGGGCCAUCGGAUGUUGAUCUGACGUUUCCUAUUGUUUUAUGUUCUUUAUGUGUUUCGGUUAGCUAUGUAUGUUCUUAUUUGGACUCGUGGGCCCAGUAUUUGUUUAGCCCAAUGUUAUUUUUUGUGUAACGCAAAACAUAUGCUCAAGACAUAUGAACACACGUGAAAAAAAGUCAGCAAGCUUCUUUGGUGAAUAUUUAUUUGUUACGCUACAAUACGACCUACAGCUGCCUAAUGAUAUAGCUUUUCUCCACACACACACAAUAAAAAACAAAAAAAGACAAGAAACAAAAAAAAGAGGGUAGACACAAAACAAAAAAAAACAUUGUGAAUAAAUUAUGAAAAAUAAAAAAGACAAAAAACAAAUAAAAAACAAAAGGAAAACACACACACACACACACACCGCGCACACACACAACAAAUACAAAAAAAGAAAAAGAAAACACACACACACACACCGACCACACACACACAACACACACAAUAAAAAUAACAAAAAAAAAUAAAAAAGACAAAAAAAAAGAGGGUAGAUACAACAAAAAAACAUUGUCAAUAAAUUACGAAAAAUAAAAAAGAAAAACAAAUACAAAAAAAGGAAAAGGAAAAAACAAAAAAAACAUUGUCAAAAAGUUAUGAAAAGUAAUAAAGGAAAAAAACAAAAAAAAGACAAGGAAAACAAAAAAAUAAAAAAAAAACAAGCCCAACCUAAGGCCUGUUGGGUAUUUUAAACGCAAACAGAAAAAUCCGCAAGCGUACGGAUACCGAUGUAGCCUUCACCCGGGAGUAUUCCAGAGUAUCGAUUUUCCACAGAGAACGUGACUGUACUAAUUAAGAUCCAAGAUCGCCCAAGGAUAACUAUAUAAUUGUUUUUGGUGGGAAGAGAAGAAGUUUUCUGAGAGUUCUCUAGUUGAUCUAAGAAUCAAGAAUUACUUCAAGAUUAUCUAUAUCGGGACAUCAGAGCACUAACCACAGAAAGAGAUGAGAAGGGGGCUAGGAAGGUCUGACUACGGUCCUACAAACACCGAUCCGAACGUGGUGGAAUACGUCGACUGUUAGGGCUGUCACUACCCUAAGGCUACCACAACAAUCCGCAGGAUUGGGUGCAAUUCUAGGUAAUUGCAAGACUAAACACCACGUCUAAUCUAUUAAUUAAUACUCUAGCGUUAUAAAGACUAGAGCACUUGAUGCAAGCGGGAAUCCAAUAAAUAAGUUGAAUGUAAACAAAAGUAGUUAAAGAACUCAGGAAUUAUGAAUUGAAGAACCUAGAGAACGAUGAAGAACGAACCUGAUGCUGCAAAAGUAUAAUGUUGAGGAAGAUCCGACAGAUCCGGCUCCUCCUUCGCUCUCCUCUUCUCUCUCCCUAUUGUCUAGAUUACAACUAGAACUAACUAGAACUAGAACUAGAGGAACUAGAACUAGAACUAGAUGAACUAGAACUAGAUCUAGAUGAACUAGAGGUAGAACUAGAAGAACUAGAGGGAUCCUCUCUACUUGGAUGAAGAAUUGAAACCCUAACUUGGAUUCUGUAGUAUGAUCUCCAGGGGCCAGGGGGCCUUGCUUAUAUAGUCUUUUCAUAUGAAUCUGGGCCGUCAGAUCAAACCGACAUCAAUCGCACGGUUUUCCUUGAUCCUUUAGGUCGGUGGAGCAUAAUCCGCAAAACGUGUCCUGAUUGAGCACUGUAGCUGGGCGGGUGCCCAGGAGAGUAGGGCGGGCGCCUUGCCUCCGAGCCCGAUUGCCUUCCCGUUCGUUCCCGUGGCUUCUGGAGUCUUAUAGAUGAUAGAAAAUUGUGCGGCACGUUAAUAUCUCUAUGUAAACCCGACAUGUGGGCCUUUCUUCCGUAUUUCCUGAUAACCCCCUGCAGAAAUAGACAAACACCAAAACUCGUGGAAUUCUGUCAGAUAAAACCCUAAGUCUAGGUGUUGGUUGUAUUUGGAUCCUUUUCUAUGAUUAGUUGAUGGUUAAAUGUGAGCAUUAAGGACCGUCAACAAGCUCCCCCAAGCUUAACCUUUGCUCGUCCCUGAGCAAAGAUAGACUCAAGAGUUUCUGCAGUGGUUUCAUGCCUUAGAGGUACACAUGCGUUUUAAAUAAGAUCUCAUCUCUGGGUUAGGUUAAACUGUUAAGAUUUAAACUUACUCAUAUUACCUUUCACCAUAGGGCUUGCAACCAUCACUUGUGUCUUGAGCAGUUAAAAGAUAGAACGGUCUAGUCAAGCGCCAUGUCUCUUGUUUUUUGAUUAACUAUAGCUCUGGAGUUUUUGCAGAUUUUCAAAUAAAACUCAGAGAUUCCUUGUAUGACUCUCUCUAGUCUCUCUUUUGUGGUAUUUCUGGAUCCUUACCAAGGUAAUAAAGGUGUAUGCCUUCUCUCAAAGUAUGUGGUAUUUUUGGUAUGAGGCAUAGUGACAUUGCCUUCUCUCUCACCCUACUCUAAUAAGGUUUUGAUAUUGGAGCUCAUAGGUGGGAGACAGCUAAUACAUACUUACAAGACAUUUAUUGCAUAGUCAAACAAUGGAUCCAGAAGAACAAGUCAUUAAGUCAAAUCAAGAUGUGCAUGUGUGGCGAAUGAAUGGUGAUAACAAUGGUGAAAGUCUAAUUCUACUUUUGCUCUUUUUGAGGGGAUACAUACCUUCCUUGCUCUUUUGAAACUUUUGGGAAGAAUGAGAUGCUCUGUAUUUUCUUUUUCUUUCCUCUCAGGUGGGUAUCUUGUACCCCUAAUUCUACUGUCGGACACUUGUCCAUUUUUACCUCUCGUCUCACUUUUUUUUUCUUUCGAGGUUCCGGGCACUUGCCCCUUUUUAUUUCCUCGUAUUAUUUCUCUUUUUUUCUCUCUUUUUUUAGAGCACUCAUCUCCUAAAAUAAUAUAGCAAGUGGUAGUAACAAGAUAACUUGAGCAUUUAUUUCACAGGGGAAAAACAGAAAUAUUUUUGGCUAUUCUCUCCCGGAUUAGGAGUAGAAUAUUUUUGGGUAGUUCUGGAGAUGGAAAUGGAUGGAUAUAUGUGGAUGCGUACUUCCGAAGUAGAAGUAGCAUGUAUGAGUGAACGUGCAAGUGAAUCUUGGUUUAACCACAUGACAAGCUCCUAAGGGUCUACACAGCUUGACCACACUCAAUGCUCAUAAGCAGUAAAAAGUAAAUGUGUGGCUCAAAGUCUAGCAAGCAUGUAUAUAUGGCUGUGGUAGGAAUUUAAACUCUCAUCAUAGAGAAACUCAUCAUGCAAUAUUUUAAUGAUUUUCAAAGAUAAAAUUCUCCAGAAUUCUAGCAUCUCUAGGAACAGAUAAACAGCAGCUCAACCUUCCCAUAUCAUAUCCGUUAACAACUUAGACUUUAGAUCAAGUACUCUCCCCACAAGUUCAGGUUUAGAGCAAACCUUAAUUCAUAACAGUGAUGCCUAAACUUGAGAGAGAUUUCAAUUUAGAGAACUAGUCAUGGUAGAGCAACUAUUCAUCAUUUCCAUGUGAGAGCUUAUCAUGAGGGUUCAUAGCAAACUUUAUUUAUUUAUUUAUUUAGCAAAUUAAGCAAAGACAUAUAUAAGCACAGAAUAUUUAUUUUGGUUUUUAUGAUUAUGCAUCUUUUUAUUAUUUGAGUGAAGUAUAAACAUGAGUAGAACACUUAGCUGGAUAAAUGGGGGUGCUCUCCCCCAAGCUGGAUUUUGACAUAAUUCCUUUUGAUGUAGCAGGUGGCGGAGGUGUAUUUGAAUGUCGGCAGUACCCUGACAGCGAUUAGGAUGUCCUCCGUCUGCUAGUCUUCUUUGAUCCUUGAAUUCUGUGGAGCUCAAAUAGACAACAAAGCUUUGUGGAACUAGUUAAGUGUUAGCAUAAAUAUCUAGCCUUUAUCAUGUUGAGCCUCCUCAAUAAAUGUUACUCUCUUUAGUAAGAUCAUAAAUUUAUUUUUAUAAUUUUAUUUUUAUAGGAUAGGAAAAUAUUUAUUCUAUCUUUAUGCCACCACAGUGAAUGUACUUAUGGGUUUUAUGCCAUGAGCAUACUCACAUGGGUCUUACUAUUUUUAACAUUUUUAUUUUCUUUUCAAGAUGAUAUGAACCUUUUUAACUAAGCAAACUAUUUUAAAAUAAUUGAAAGGAAAAAGAUAACUACCAAGUUUACCUCUUGGCAAGGCGUUCGGUGUUUUUAAGUCCUCCGAACGGGACUCUCCGUUUUCUCAGUCGUCCUGGGAUUCGCUGGAUGGCGUAGUCGGUGAUUCUGGCAGCGUCUGCUCUUCAUGUAUAACUAUCUUCUUUCUCCACACCUAACUCGGUGCUACGGUCUCCUCAGUACAGUUCUGCUCAAGCUGUAUGUCUUCAGACAUUACCACUUCUCCUUCGUAGUCCGCCCAUCCGUCCUUGAUGAUUUUCCUCCUCUGGUUGCGGUUGCGUUGUCUCCUUCUUGUCCUGACCUGCUUAGAGUCUUUAACUAUAUAGUUAGAGUUAGUAAAAUAGCGGCAUACCUUCUCAGAGGGGAAAUGCAUGUGGACUUCUUUGGUUCCAAUGUUGAUGAUUGCUUUAACGGUGCUAAGGAACGGUCUUCCAAGGAUGAUGGGUGGAUCAUGCUCUUCUUCUCCCAUGUCAAUAACUUUUCGGAAUGUCUGAUCUGCCAUCUGGAGCUGAAUGUAUGCCGGUUUUAGGGGCAUGGUUCCAAAUAGGAGCUGAUUGGUGACUGCGGCCAUUAUGUUGACGUCAGAUCCGGUGUCGUAGAGUGUCUUCUGAAAAGAAUAUCCGUUGAUUGUGCACUCGAUGCUUGGAACACCAGGGUCAUCCUUCUUGAACAAGAAAGGCGACUUGAGUCGACGAUCUUGACCUCCUUGAGCUGCAGUGAUCAUCUUAGCUGACUCGGUCCACAUUUGCUUGUUCCUAUUCCUCCUGUUGGUCCUCUUCCUUGGUUCAUGUCGGGAAUGCUCUGAGAUUUGUGUAGUCUUGUUCUUGAAGGAAAACGUCUCCUUCCUCCCCUUGAUGUAGAAACUGAUCUUGGCAACACUAGCAUGGAUGAUAGCUCCCGAGGUGUUCAGGAAUGGCCUCUUUGGACGCGGAGGUUCUUCAAUAUUCCCUUUAGGAAACCUGGGCAUAAUGUUGAUACUGGAGCCAAAGUCGCAGAGUGCUUCUGGGAAGUCCACCAUGUCGAUGGAGAUCGGGAUGACAGGGCGUCCCGGAUCGCCUCUGAGUAGUUUGGCCUCUGUUGAUUCCAACCUUGAUUUUGUUGAGGACGGUUGUAGUAGUUGUUGUUGUUGAAGUAGUUUACGUCCUCAAGCAUCCCAGGGCAGUGAUUGCCUGAGUGUCCAGUAUCUCCAUUGUGUUUGAGCUCGUAGAUCUAGGUUCUUCACUUGGUGGAGCCUGGGAGUUAUAAUACUUCUCCAUAUUUUGCUCAAAAUGUACCUGCUCAUAGAGACAAGGCAGAGAUCAAGUGCAUGGGCCCUGUUGGUGGAAAACACCAACAGAACCAAAAGUGUAUUUGUUCUCUCUAACCUUAAGCAUAAUGAGCAAGACAAAGUUGAUGGAUAAUAAGAUCAUGAGUGUAGCAUUUAAAAUAUUUGUCAGAUCAGAUCACUCAACCUUAUGGAAAGAUAAUCUAUCUAUAUUUAUGUUGUUUCUUUUAUAUAUAACUUCCAAAGAUUGAGUGUGCAACAUUUUUGCUCAUAUGAUUAGGAGUGUGGGAUCACAAAGGUGGAAGGACUAAACAUAUUGAAUCGAUUGGGUUGGUUAAUCUUAUAGUUGUAAAUCAUACAUGUUUUUCUCUUUUAUUCAUGUGAAUGCCAGAACCAAGGAGAAGCUUUAUAACAGUGAUAGUCAAGUACCUUAAGAUGUUACCUUACUUGAAGAGUGAUGUUACAGUAUCACCUUGUGGAAGCUUUCCUUUCUUAGCGGUUGUGCAUCAUGUUUGUUGCACCCUCCAUGGAUCAUCUCUUGUGAGCUAUGCUUUCCUUGUAUAAAUUGUUAAACUUCAUGUGUCUCUCUCUUUGUCUCCAAUGUGAGUUUAUCUCAGGACUUCCCAGGUCGAUAUUGAAAGUUUUCCUGCAGGGGUUAGUCCAACAAAAUAUCCAAUAUCUACUAUAGCAUACUAUCGGCUCAAAGAUCAACCUAGACACCAUGUCUAAUUUGAUUUAGGAGGGCAUUUUAACCUAAGCGCCAUGCUUAAUUUAAAAUCCUUUGGAAGUAAGAUCAUCAUUCCUAAACUAAGCACCAUGCUUAAUUAAGAGAUAAAUGAAACUACUCCAAACCUAGACAUAUACUAAAGCAAAUAAAGGUAGCAUGAGAGCAUUUAUAGAGAUCUACUCAAGUGGAGAUGAAGUAGUGUGAUUAGUAAUUAACAAAUUGAGCAUGUUUCAAAGGUAGGGACAACCAACAUAGCAACAUGGCAAAGGAUGAUUUUAUGUAAAGUACUCCCCCAAGCUUGAAUUUUGCAAAAUUCAAGUUUGGAUGAAUUUAAUUCAAUGUUGUAUGAUGGUUGGUUGGACAUACCUUGUGCUUGUCAUUCAUCCGAUCUUCUUGCUCUAAUCCUGAAAAGGUUAGUGACAAGAAUACCUGAAGGAAUUUUUUUACAAUUAUCCUUAUAUGCUCAACACACAUGGUAAUGUUGCAAAUAAUUAAAAGCUCAUGUUACAAUCUGAUCAGUGCUUGUUUUAGGACACUAAGCUUGUCCUUGGGAAACCAUCAAUUUAUGUCGGCGAAGUGGUUUCCCCUCCAACGCUGACCUAAAUCAAGAUCAACUCAACGAGAUCUGCAAAAUUUAUUAUAGACAUAUGCAUCGACAACCGCCCUUUUAAAGUUUUUAUAAAUAGAAAGGAAGGGGGGGCUGGAGAUCUCGAAUGUGGUGAUGUCUGAAAAACCAAUGGAUUGGGAAGAUGUUGCAUAUGAGCAUGGAGUAAAUGAAGUGGCUAUGAAAUAAAUUCCAUGCUCAUUAAUGCUUAGAGUGAAAUCCAUGUGGUAUGGUGAAAAUGAUAAGGUGAUUGUGGUAAAAAAGGAAAAGAAAAAGGAUACACGGACGACUUGGUUCGAAACUAGCACAGCUACCGUUCCCUGGCAACGGCGCCAGAAAGCUUGUUGGGUAUUUUAAACGCAAACAGAAAAAUCCGCAAGCGCACGGAUACCGAUGUAGCCUUCACCCGGGAGUACUCCAGAGUAUCGAUUUUCCACAGAGAACGUGAGUGUACUAAUUAAGAUCCAAGAUCGCCCAAGGAUAACUAUAUAAUUGUUUUUGGUGGGAAGAGAGGAAGUUUCCUGAGAGUUCUCUAGUUGAUCUAAGAAUCAAGAAUUACUUCAAGAUUAUCUAUAUCGGGACAUCAGAGCACUAACCACAGAAAGAGAUGAGAAGGAGGCUAGGAAGGUCUGACUACGGUCCUACAAACACCGAUCCGAACGUGGUGGAAUACGUCGACUGUUAGGGCUGUCACUACCCUAAGGCUACCACAACAAUCCGC